CACGGAAUUCACUGGAAGCAAUGAUAAAUAAAUACAAAUAGAAAAGGAAAGGGAGGAAAUACAAAAAAAUAGAAGAGAAAAGUCAUACAAAGUUAUAUACAAAUCACUACCCCCUUUUUUGUAUUUCCUUAAUUUAUUUCCUUAAUUGAAUUUCGGUUGAUUAAGACGAAGUUCCUUAAAAACCUCUGCCUUCUUUAAAAUAUCCUGAACAGUUUCUGUAGGUUGAGCCCCUUUUUCAAGGAAAUAUAAAAUAGCAGGAACAUUUAAAUAAGUUUGAUUCUUUAUCGGAUCAUAAAAACCCACUUUCUGAAGAUCUUUUCCUUCUCUUCGGGAUCGAACAUCAAUUGCAACGAUUCGAUAGACGGCUCAUUGGGAUAGAUGUAGAUGAACAACACCCCCCCUAGAAACGUAUAGGAAGCUUUCUCCUCGUACGGCUCGAGAAAAAUGAUUGAUUCGAAGUUUUGUCUCUGUAUGGAAUUCUAUCUAAGAAAUGACAACUGGAUCCAUAAAAUGAUCAAAGCAAUUAAAGAUCUAAGUCUUUUUUUCUUCGUUCUUCCUUAAAAUGAAAAAUAAACCAUUCGUACUCUCAUAACUCAAGUUGGAUAACUUUCAAACAGUUCAAAGGAAAAUCUUUCGGCAAUUUCAUUUAUUGAGCGGUCUUUCCUCCUUUUUUGUUUGUCUCGUUUAAAAUCGGAUUCUUCAGUCUGAUCCAGUUAUUAAGACAAUUAAAAAGGUGUUUCCUUGUUCUGGGAUCCUUUAUCUUUGUUUUAUUUUAAAUCAUUGGGUUUAGACAUUACUUCGGUGCUUUUUAAUCCUUUCAAAAUGGCAGCAACAUACCCUUUUUGCGAUUUUUAUGAAAGAAUCCUACAAGAUGAUGGAUUCCCUCGUGAAACACUUUGGAUCGAAAAAGUUUGAUCAAUUCCAAUAAAUUUUUUAAUUUGAAACUUGCUCGAAUUGGAUUCUUUCGAUUUCCAUACCUAAGAUAUAUUAGAUAUAUUUACGAAGUUGUUUCAAUUGUUUUAUUGAUUGGCAUUAACCCUAGACCCUUGCCCCGAGAAAGAAAUUAAUACUUUCUACUCGAGCUCCAUCAUGGACUAUUUACAUUCCAAGACAACAAAAAACGAGGGGUUCUAGUGAAACAGAACCAAUGAUGUCGAGUUAAGAGCACCUUCAUUCCUACAAAAAAUGGUGGAUGUACAAAUCCACAACGGAUCGUGUCCUUCAAGUCGCACGUUGCUUUCUACCACAUCGUUUCAAACGAAGUUUUACCAUAACAUUCCUCUAAGAACCGGUAUGGAAUUGAUUCAAUUAUGGAAUCAUGAAUAGUCAUUGGUUGGGCUGAUGUAUAAACACCAUAAUCUAAAGUAUUUUCUAUAUCUUCUAUAUCUAUAGUAUAUAGAUAUAAAUAAUACUAUAGAUUAAUACUAUAGAUAUAGGGUGGAUAAAUAUUUUUCUGAAGAAGUCUUAGUAAGACCCCAUCGCUAAUAUUAAAUUGUCUAACAUUAUAAUAUUAAUUAAUAAAUAUAUAUAAUAAAAAAUUUUUUUAUAUAAAUAAAAUAAGACGAAUAAACGAAUUCUUUUUAAUUCUGCAUCUUCACGUGACUUAAUAGGAGAGAAAGAUUCAGCUUCUAAGGAAUGAUUUAAACUAUUUCUCUUUCGAAAUUUCGAAUCAAUUUCGAAAGUUCCCCUCUCGACAUCAUUAUUCCAAGAAAAUUUGAUAGUUAAAAAUAACUUUUGAUCAUCUUAGGAAAAAAGAUAAGUCUUUUUUUUUUUUUUUUCAUCUGAUUAAUAAAAUCCAAAGAAUGGGGAGGGUUUCGUAUCUAUCAAUUCGAUCAAAUAGACUGAGCAAUUGUCACCGUUUAUAGAUAUUGAAAUGAACGCCUUCCCAUCACUGAUUAACUCCUAUCUACCCCAUUCUCUGGGACUGAUGCAGCAUAAAUCAAAAGAAGGGGAUGUCCUAGUCUUUUUUUUUACGAAAUGCGAGCUGGCUGGGCACAAAGCCAAACAAGCCCAGAUUAAGUCCAGUUUUUGCUCCUUUUUUCUAUUUUAGCCUACCUCAUUGAUUAAGAAUUAAGAGACUUAGUGAAUUGAAUUAGUACCAAAAACCCCUUCUUGGCGAAAAGUCAAGAAAUCCACAAAAAAGCAAAUUGAAUCUAAUUAGGCUAAUUUAGGGGGUAGAGAAUAUGAGAUAGGGAAUAUGGAUUCUUUCGUAUCUCGAUUCAGUUUUUGAAAAAAAAAAACGAUUCAUCGAAGAAAAAAAUCAGAAACAACAAUCACAUUCCAGCUAACAUUUCGAUUUUAAACAGAACAUUGUUAAAAAAGCAAUCUAUAUUGUCAGAGAAUAUAUAUGUUCUGGGACGGAAGGAUUCGAACCUCCGAAUAGCGGGACCAAAACCCGUUGCCUUACCACUUGGCCACGCCCCAUUUAGAUUUCUAUGCGAUACUAAUAAAGUAUAUUGCUGGUUUUGUUUGUUUGUCAACUCUAGCCCAAAUAUCUAUA
rnacentral:lncRNA from 1 species